rnacentral:rRNA from 1 species
GCGCAAACCUGCGGUAAAAACUGCAUUUAAACCGGUGUGCUACCGAGCAUUUGAAACGUAUGCAUACAAACCUCCUACCGGCAAAGCCAAGCUGCGGAAGCUGCCGUUUUGCGCGCUCCUGUCAACGAGCAGAGGCAACACUACUGACGCGGGUCAUGCCUGACGGAGCACUCCCUGAAGAAGAAGAACUCGACAUGGCUAUUCUACUGGCGUUUCUGCUGCUGAUGUCUUAUGGAACUGGCAACAUCCAUGGCUCAACAACGGUUAACCAUGGGAACAACACAGACAUGCUCUCCUUGCUCGUCUUCAAAGCGGCUACCAACGACCCAACAGGCGUCCUGCGAUCAUGGAACAGAAGCGUCCGCCACUGCGACUGGACGGGUGUCAUUUGCAGCUCACCGAAUUCAGGGCGCGUCGUUGCCCUGAGAAUGCCCGGCCAAAGCUUGUCAGGCGACGCCCCCAAGCUUCCGACAGCUCGAUCUUCGAGAACAUGAACUAGGGGGGAACAUUCCUGAUGUGUUUGGCCAGCUUUCACAACUCUCAAGGCUUGACCUUGGCUAUAAUAAUUUCCAAGGUGUCAUACCUCCAUAGAUUAGUGAGCUUAAACACCUGAAUGAAUUAACAUCAGGGCCUAGUAACUAAUCCCAAAAUGAACGGCUUACAUGAGAGAGGUAGCUACCCAAUGCGCAGAAUCAGCAUGGUGAACACAGGAUGGGAAGUCAGGGGCUCAACUUCUCCAGGAAACUUCUCCAGGAAACUUCUCAAAGGAGCUAAAGAAGAAAAGAGAUGUAAUUAAAGUCUUUGACAAAAUGCUCCAUCUUUGAUAAGGCUUUGAUCAUUGUGCCCCUUCUAAGAAUGUAACGCAAUACAGUGCAAUGCCUUCCUGGUUACAUGGUUCUUUUGUAAUGCUAUGUGCAAUGCAACCCCGGUGUGGCGGCCGUUGCCUGGGUUUGAUAACCGCGUGCUGCUACGGACGUGG